UGUGUCGCCAUCGUCCCGGCGCACAAAAUCCUUAUAAUCUACCUUGUCAUGCUUCUCUGCAUUAGAAGUCGAUUUUAGUGUAAAUGCAAGAAAGAGAAGCCUUAGUAGAAUUUGGGGAAACAGGCUCAUGUUCCGCGAAUCUCUGUAUCAAUCAAUCGUAAAACACAAUAUACAUAAAUAAAGCUUUUGCACUUUUGAUCCAGAAGUUCCCAAAUCGGCUAAAAUUACUCGAACAUAAAAAACCAAAACUAACUAAGCAGGUUGAAAGCUUUUUAUACUUCGCAAUAAAAAAUUCUCAAGUCUCUCGAUCCGUGUACCCAGCCAGUGUGUUUAUAGGGAUAAAAUAAAAUUACAUCUUCAUAGAAAACUCCGAAAUUUUUCGGCUUCAAACAGAACAGAUGGUAGGCAAGCAGCCGUUUAAUCCUGACUGAUUUUAAAAAUAACUUUUUUAACCUUCCUGACCAUAUUGCAAUGUUGGAUAAAAUAUUACCGUACCGGAUUUAUCCGAAUGCUUGAAUGGCUUGAGAUUUCCCUAUGUGAGUACUAUCUUAAAGAAAAAAAAAAAAAAAAAAAAAGGAAAGGAAAGGAAAAAGAGAAAAACAAAGAGAUUAUUUUCUUCAGUCCUUAAAAAGUCUAUGGUGAAACAGUAAACGAAUUUGGGAGAUUUAUUAGCGAAUUUUUUUCCAUUCCUGCGAGUAACUGAUGUGUUCCAUUUUAUAUACUUGAUGAGAGAGCGUCUAAAAAUUUUAUACUGCUUUUCUGAAUUUACAUAGACUAAUAAGAAAACCCGCACUAGAUAGGAAGAUUGACUAAAGAAGAAAGGAACAAAAUUUACGACUUAAAUCCAGUGAUCUGACAAAAUCUUCUGCAUAUUGCCUAAAUGUGAUGAUUUUUCGUUUAAUUUCCAGAAAUAACAUUGUUUUUAUUUAUGAUUUAAUCUUAUUGUCACGUUCAUUUGUUGUUUUCUAGUUUCAUGUAGAUCGUCGUCUCUUUAAGCUCACUUGACUAUUUGGGGAAACCUGGGUAAACGAGAGAAAGCAUCGCUCUACAAAAAUAGAUUUGCUAAAAUAUAAAUUGGUUUAUUCAUAGAAAACUUACAUAGAUUAGUAACAAGUACAGAAAUC